CAGCAGCCGCGGUAAUACGUAGGGUGCUAGCGUUAAUCGGAUUUACUGGGCGUAAAGCGUGCGCAGGCGGCCCGUUAAGACAGGUGUGAAAUCCCUGGGCUCAACCUAGGAAUUGCGCUUGUGACUGGCGGGCUCGAGUACGGUAGAGGGGGGUGGAAUUCCUGGUGUAGCAGUGAAAUGCGUAGAGAUCAGGAGGAACACCGAUGGCGAAGGCAGCCCCCUGGGCCUGUACUGACGCUCAUGCACGAAAGCGUGGGGAGCAAACAGGAUUAGAUACCCGGGUAGUCCACGCCCUAAACGAUGGGUACUAGCCGUUUGGUGCGCGAUAGCGCUGAGUGGCGAAGCUAACGCGAGAAGUACCCCGCCUGGGGAGUACGGCCGCAAGGUUGAAACUUAAAGGAAUUGGCGGG
rnacentral:rRNA from 1 species